rnacentral:rRNA from 1 species
CAAUAGCGUAUAUUAAAGUUGUUGCAGUUAGAACGCUCGUAGUCGGAUUUCGGGGCGGGGCGACCGGUCUGCCGAUGGGUAUGCACUGGUCGGCGCGUCCUUCCUUCCGGAGACCGUUCCUACUCUUAACUGAGCGGGGGCGGGAGACGGAUCGUUUACUUUGAAAAAAUCAGAGUGUUUCAAGCAGGCAGCUCGCUCUUGCAUGGAUUAGCAUGGGAUAAUGAAAUAGGACUUUGGUGCUAUUUUGUUGGUUUCGAACACCGAAGUAAUGAUUAAAAGGGACAGUCAGGGGCACUCGUAUUCCGCCGAGAGAGGUGAAAUUCUCAGACCAGCGGAAGACGAACCACUGCGAAAGCAUUUGCCAGGGAUGUUUNCACUAA